rnacentral:lncRNA from 1 species
CAUGAACAAGAUUACAUUUAUGAUACGGAAAUAUCGAAUAUCACAAUGCACGUAAAACUCAACAACUCGAAUAUGCAGCAGCUCCUUUACGAUCACUCUGUGUCUGUGUCCGUAGUGAAUUUUCAUAGUUAUGUUUUAUAUGCAUCCAAAGUCUCUGCGAAAGAGAUAAUAUACAUGAAAGUAAUGUAUAAAAUGGAGUUAAUCACGUAGUUGGGGAACUGAAAUACAACGUGAAGAAAAGACAAAUUAUAGGAAAUAAACUAACGGAUCAUUAAUUACAUAUAACCUUAUUGAUCGAAAAACAUAAAUCCUAUAUUAAUGUUAGAGAGAAAAUUAACAGCGUACUCCUUCGUUUAUCCAUUCAAAAAUACUUUCACAAGCGUGGUCAUAAGCUCUUU